rnacentral:rRNA from 1 species
AACGAACGCUGGCGGCGCGCCUAAUACAUGCAAGUCGAGCGAGAAGACGUAGCAAUACGUUUGUAAAGCGGCGAACGGGUGAGGAAUACAUGGGUAACCUACCCUCGAGUGGGGAAUAACUAGCCGAAAGGUUAGCUAAUACCGCGUACGCUCCUUGGACUUCGGUUCAGGGAGGAAAGCGAUACCGUGGGUAUCGCGCUCUUGGAUGGGCUCAUGUCCUAUCAGCUUGUUGGUGAGGUAACGGCUCACCAAGGCUUCGACGGGUAGCUGGUCUGAGAGGACGAUCAGCCACACUGGCACUGCGACACGGGCCAGACUCCUACGGGAGGCAGCAGUAAGGAAUAUUGCGCAAUGGGCGAAAGCCUGACGCAGCGACGCCGCGUGGGGGAUGAAGGUCUUCGGAUUGUAAACCCCUUUCGGGAGGGAAGAUGGAACGAGCAAUCGUUCGGACGGUACCUGGAAAGGAAGUUCCGGCUAACUCCGU